rnacentral:lncRNA from 1 species
CGCGCACGCGCGCGCGCGGGUUCUCACGCACGGUCUGCUACCCUCCUCGCCUCUCCCGCCCCUCCCACUCGGCGAGAGCUGUGGAGCCGCAGCAGCCAGCCCGCCCCGCGCCUAGCUCCCCAGCCCGGCGGGCGAUCCGCUUCCUUCAGACUGCUUCUCGCCCGGGCGCCCCCUACGAAGUUCUCCCUCCCUCACCACCCCCUGCGAGGACCUCAGGGGGCGGUCCCGAAUCCCAUUAUGUAGUUCAGGCUGACCUUGAACUCACUAUGUAACCCAGACUGUCCUCUAACCCUAGAGGAUCCUCCUGCCUCAGCCUCCCAAGUACUGGGAUUACAGGGAUGGAACUCGGGUCCUUGUGCUUGCGCAGCAGGCGGCGAAACCACUGAGCUAAAUCCCCGGCCCUGUUUAACUCUUUUGACUAAAGAUAAGUGUUAGGAUUUGAUAUUCUGGGAGGGGAAGGGGUGAAAGGAUUGUAUCCACCCAUCUUUCCCUCCCACCUGCACCUGAAGCUAGCUCUUGCACUCUAUUCUUGGUCAAAAAUGGGAGAUGAAACACUGUCCAGCAUACCCACAGCAGUAUAGAAGAAAGAACAGCAGCUGCCAAACCUGCUUCACCAAGUCACACUGCCACUAGUGGUGACCAGGACCAAGGUUUUAACACUUGAGGAGCCUUGAAUGGCAGGGCUAAAUACAACCACCUUGCCUUGUGUUAGCUAGUGGGUGUGUUUUAACAAGUUCCAUAAGUAAGCUUUUACCAUUUGAUACUUCUCAAAUUCAAAUGCAGAUACCUCUUGACUUAUGGAGUUAUGUCACCAUAACCCCAUGGUAAGAUAAAAAUAUUAAGUUAAAAUUGCAUUCAAUACUCCUAAUCUAGGGCCAGGAUUUAGCUCAGUGGUUCGGCCACCUGCCUUGUAAGCGUAAGGACCUGAGUUCAAUCCCCGGUACCAAAAAAAAAAAAAAUACACCUAAUCUAUCAAACAUUGUAACUUGGCCUAACUUUUCUUAAACAUACUCAGAGAACUUACAUCAGUUUACAGUUGGGCAAAAUUAUCUAACACAAACC